CUACGGGACGCUGCAGUGAGGAAUAUUGCACAAUGGGGGAAACCCUGAUGCAGCAACGCCGCGUGGAGGAUGACGCAUUUCGGUGUGUAAACUCCUUUUAUAUGUCAAGAAAAUGACGGUAGCAUAUGAAUAAGCACCGGCUAACUCCGUGCCAGCAGCCGCGGUAAUACGGAGGGUGCAAGCGUUAUUCGGAAUCACUGGGCGUAAAGGACGCGUAGGCGGGUUUUUAAGUCAGGUGUGAAAUCCUACAGCUUAACUGUAGAACUGCACUUGAAACUACUGACCUAGAGUAUGGGAGGGGGAGAUGGAAUUAGUGGUGUAGGGGUAAAAUCCGUAGAUAUCACUAGGAAUACCUAAAGCGAAGGCGAUCUCCUGGAACAUUACUGACGCUAAGGCGUGAAAGCGUGGGGAGCAAACAGGAUUAGAUACCCGCGUAGUC
rnacentral:rRNA from 1 species